CGUUCAGUGCUCACGCAGGCACCAUUCAUUUUCGGCCCCGAAUACAUUAGCAUGGGAUAAUGGAAUAGGACCCUGUCCUCCUUUUUUCAGUUGGUUAAUUCAUGAGAGAGGAACAGGGUAAUGAUUAAUAGGGAUAGUUGGGGGCAUUAAUAUUUAAUUGUCAGAGGUGAAAUUCUUGGAUUUAUGAAAGAUUAACUUCUGCGAAAGCAUCUGCCAAGGAUGUUUUCAUUAAUCGGGAACGAAAGUUAGGGGAUCGAAGACGAUCAAAUACCGUCGUAGUCUUAACCAUAAACGAUGCCGACCAGCGAUUAGGAGACGUUGAAUACAAAACACCUCUAUAUAUAAUUCAGUAUAUGGCUAGCAAUGGCUGUAUAUUGUUUGUGUAUAGUUACGGUGAAUGACUCCCCUAGCAGCUUGUGAGAAAAAAACAUCUCACGACACGAGCUGACGACAGCCAUGAAGCACAUGUGUUCGAGUUCCCGAAGGAACCAAUCCAUCUCUGGAAAGUUAUCGACAUGUCAAGGCCAGGUAAGGAUCUUCGCGUUGCAUCGAAUUAAACCACAUACUCCAACGCUUGUGCGGGACCCCGUCAAUUCCUUUGAC
rnacentral:rRNA from 1 species